UGCCUCUCCUCCUUUUGGAUGACCGGCUACUAGACCACCUCAGGCCAGCAGCAAGAUCAUGGCUGGCUGCAACAGACAGAGGACAGCAGGGGACCUGGGAUCUAGUGUUCAGGGGACAACAGGAGACAAAGAAUAAUCCCUGGGCCAAGAAGCAGCCAAGAUAUCAAGACGAGGAUGUGGAAUUUCAGGGACCUCUCAGAGUCAGCGGAAGCGGGGCGAGCACCUUGGCUCAGGGCUUUGGAGAAAUGGAAUUCGUUAAGGAGCAGGGAAAGGGGAGCGCAUGUCGUUGGCCCUGUCCUGUCCAGGGAGCACACACACACGCGGGCAGGAGGCAGCUCCUUCGCGUCCACAGAGCCUCCUUUCUUCAGGAAAAGUGACUCUUUCACAGCUCUUGGAGGGAAGGAAAUGGAAAGUCCCACAGCAUCAGGAGCCCCUCUCCCCUCAAGAUUGCUUUCUGCUUCUCAAGCCAGCAAGCAGAGAGAGAUGGAUUCCGGCAUCAGCCUGUUUUCUGCUCUUCACUUAGCGGAGGAUCUCAGCUCACAGCAUGGUGCCUCCCACAUUCAGCAUGGCUUUUCCCUCCUCAGCUCCUCCUUUCUGGAACCACCCUCAGACAGACUCAGAGGUUAGAGAUGGCAAGAUGAAUUUGUUUAACUCUUCUGCCUCCCAAACUCCCACUGAAAUGACCUAAGACUAUAAAACCAGGGCAAGGAUGCGCCACCAGGGAAAAUGGGGCAGUGGCAGAUGCAGGGGAGGUGCUUGUCAUUUCUGGUACACAGAGUACAGCCAAGAUUCGAGAAGGAAGGCCUGUCCUGCCCAGGACUCGGUAUCUGCUAAGGAACUAGCAAACGGGUAGGUAGAAUUCUCCUCAGAGCUCCCACCCAUGGUCUCAAACAUCAGAACUUCUGGACAGCUGGACAGCAGCCACAGGGAGGAACGUGUUACCGUUGAGUUCAGACCCACCAUCAGGAAGCUAUACUAACUUACAAGCCUCAGUUCUGUCCUUUGUCAAAUAGGGAGGACGUCUACAUCACAAGACGCAGUAAGGAUGAGAAACAGUGCGCGUUCAGAGACUCAGCCGGAAGGUAACUCGUCCAGAGACUCAGCUGCUAAGGGUUUGGUGCAAGUUAUUGCUAAUCUGCAAGGAAGCCUUCGGAAAGUGGUCUCAUUCUAAUCAGGCAAUGCCUCUAAUGAGGCAACCAGAGUUCUGAGAGGUGGAACACACAGAAAACACCGAACUCCCUCUGACACUACUUGAAAAACACAACCCUUGGCCAGCCUAUGUCACACACACCUCCCUGGCAGUCAGGCGGCUCAUUGACAAGAGCA